GACGAACGCUGGCGGCAGGCUUAACACAUGCAAGUCGAACGCACCGCAAGGUGAGUGGCAGACGGGUGAGUAACGCGUGGGAACGUACACUUCGGUUCGGAAUAGCUCCGGGAAACUGGAAUUAAAACCGGAUACGCCCUUAGGGGGAAGAUUUAUCGCCGAAGGAUCGGCCCGCGUCAGAUUAGGUAGUUGGUAGGGUAACGGCCUACCAAGCCGAUGAUCUGUAGCUGGUCUGAGAGGAUGANCAGCCACACUGGGACUGAGACACGGCCCAGACUCCUACGGGAGGCAGCAGUGGGGAAUAUUGGACAAUGGGCGAAAGCCUGAUCCAGCAAUGCCGCGUGUGUGAAG
rnacentral:rRNA from 1 species